CCUACGGGCGGCUGCAGUGGGGAAUAUUGCACAAUGGGCGCAAGCCUGAUGCAGCCAUGCCGCGUGUGUGAAGAAGGCCUUCGGGUUGUAAAGCACUUUCAGCGGGGAGGAAGGCGGUGAGGUUAAUAACCUCAUCGAUUGACGUUACCCGCAGAAGAAGCACCGGCCAACUCCGUGCCAGCAGCCGCGGUAAUACGGAGGGUGCAAGCGUUAAUCGGAAUUACUGGGCGUAAAGCGCACGCAGGCGGUCUGUCAAGUCGGAUGUGAAAUCCCCGGGCUCAACCUGGGAACUGCAUUCGAAACUGGCAGGCUAGAGUCUUGUAGAGGGGGGUAGAAUUCCAGGUGUAGCGGUGAAAUGCGUAGAGAUCUGGAGGAAUACCGGUGGCGAAGGCGGCCCCCUGGACAAAGACUGACGCUCAGGUGCGAAAGCGUGGGGAGCAAACAGGAUUAGAUACCCGGGUAGUC
rnacentral:rRNA from 1 species